UAGGUCACAGUCCAUUUCAGCAGAAGUGUGGACUGCAGGCCCUGCCCCUUUGGCUCCCGCUAAUGUCAACUGAUAACACAACGGUUUUAACUGCCAGUAAAAACAUCAGCCACUUGAAUAAGGAGGCUUGUUCACCUUGCAUCAAUCAAAAGAGAAUAACAAACCUACAUUGGCAGAGUUCAGCCUGCCCACACAUAGUAUUCUCAGCAUAACCUGAGGUAUUCAACCAGGAGGUGUGAAUCACUAACCUGAGAUAUCCUGCUCUGUAUACAAAUGAAGUUGAUUAAUGAUGCUGAAAUAAUUUCUGGCAUUCCAACUGUGUGAGAAUUCAGUUAGCAGUUUCUGUUAAGUCCUUUUAAAAAGGUCACAUGCGCACAAAAACAGGUUAAGAAGAAAAAAAACCACCGAAGAGCUGCAAGAUGUUUCUUUUCAGACCUCACCAAGUCGGCACCCAGGCACAGCAGUAAAGAAAAAUCUCAUGUAGCAAUCUUGGUUUUUAGUCUACCUAAAAUGUCUUUUUGUGGAAGAACCAAGUCUUUCUGAGGAGGGAUAUAUGUUUCUUUAUACACUGUGAAACAGUAAGAUUCCUUCACUUCAACUUGACAAAGAAAAACGUCCACAUUUCUGUUUUCUUUUCAGAAAUCCAAAAAUAUCAUCUCCGCAAUUCCAGUCUUCCUAAAUAAACAAAGAGAUGACAAAA